AAUGGAACCUGCAGGAAUCAUCCACGUGGGCAAAUGACAAGUCUUUGUCUGCGGUCGCAGUGGUCCUACAGAAAAACGGAGGGCUCUGUCUGGCUUGGAGCAGCCAGCCAGGCCUGAUCGUUCCCCUCCGGACAUC